GGGUCUUAGAUCUGUUUCGCCGACAUGGGGCUAGCUGUUGGCGGUGGAUGGUGGAGAUGAUGACGCGACAGUUGAAAGGGUGGCUUCGCCAGUGGAUGGCAGUAGAGGUGAGAUCGGCGACCAUGGCUGGUGCAGCGGCGGCGCUGGCAAGGAGAGGACGAUGGAGGAAGCGCUAACGGAGAAGAGGGACAACCGGUGAUGGAAAAGGCAGCAUUGAUGAUUUUGUCGUAGGGUUUUUGAGAGAAGAAGGAAAUAGAAAGAGAAAGAGGAGAGAUGAGAGAAGGG
rnacentral:lncRNA from 1 species